UACGUAGGGUGCGAGCGUUGUCCGGAAUUAUUGGGCGUAAAGAGCUCGUAGGCGGUCUGUCGCGUCGGUCGUGAAAACUUGGGGCUUAACCCUGAGCUUGCGGUCGGUACGGGCAUGACUGGAGUUCGGCAGGGGAGACUGGAAUUCCUGGUGUAGCGGUGAAAUGCGUAGAUAUCGAGAGGAACACCAGUGGCGAAGGCGAGUCUCUGGACAUUUCCUGACGCUGAGGAGCGAAAGCGUGGGGAGCGAACAGG
rnacentral:rRNA from 1 species